ACACUGCCUCGAGCUUCUGUUAUUUUCUACUGCAAUGUUUGUGAAAUUCCUGCUGAUGAGAUGUGACUGAUCAAAUGCUGUCCUGAACACCUGUUUGACAAGGUUUACCUGGACCCAAAAGACUCUCCUCACAGUAUGAAGGUAUUGUGGGACAGGUGUACUUCUGCCAAGUGAUGGUCUGAAGACAACACAGCAGCAUCAGGAAAGAUUCAGUAUCCACAGGAUGACUUCUCUGACCUGAGAGCCUACAUCACCAGCUGACACAUCUUCAGUAGAAAAUAAACCCUUUAGACUGGUGGAGGACAUGAUCUGGACGGUUAACAUCUGCUACUCUGUGCAUUAUGUAUACACACUUUAUAUUUCCAUUUCAUUGACUAUGAAUAAAGUCCUUUAUUUCCAA